AGCUCCUGCGCCCGGGCGCACUCGUCUGGAGCCGGGAGCCCCGACACACAAAGGCUGGGGGUCGGGGAGGGGAUGUGUGAGCAACCGGGGAACCGGGAAAGGGAAAGCGAAAGCCGCGGGCGCGGCAGGUGACGGCGAAGGCGCGGUACCCGGGCCUGCCCUCCAGAGCCUGUCGGGCUGACCCCGGCGCGCCGCAGCCAUGGCUAUCGCCCACCUGGCCACCGAGUACGUGUUCUCCGACUUCUUGCUGAAGGAGCCCUCGGAGCCCAAGUUCAAGGGGCUUCGACUGGAGCUGGCAGUGGAUAAGAUGGUCACGUGCAUCGCCGUGGGUCUGCCCCUGCUGCUCAUCUCGCUGGCCUUCGCGCAGGAAAUCUCGAUCGGUACCCAGAUAAGCUGUUUCUCCCCAAGCUCCUUCUCGUGGCGGCAGGCUGCCUUUGUGGAUUCCUACUGCUGGGCUGCUGUUCAGCAGGGCUCCCUGCAAGGUGAUUCCGGACGCCUUCCGCUGUGGCUGCAUAAGUUUUUCCCCUACAUCCUGCUGCUGGUGGCUAUCCUCCUAUACCUGCCCUCCCUGUUCUGGCGUUUUGCAGCUGCUCCUCAUCUUUGCUCAGAUUUGAAGUUCAUCAUGGAAGAACUUGACAAAGUUUACAACCGCGCAAUUCAAGCUGCAAAGAGCAUGUGUGGUCAGGACGUGAGGGAUGGUACCAGCCCAGUUCCAGGCCCUCAGGAGAACAUGGGGCAAAGCCUGUGGGAGAUCUCUGAGCGCCACUUCAAGUACCCGAUUGUGGAGCAGUACCUGAGGACAAAGAGGAGCUGUAGGAACUUGACCAUCAAGUAUGUCAGCUGCCGGUUGCUGACACUCGCCAUUGUCCUGUCCGCGAGCGCCUACCUGGGCUAUUACAUCAGCCUCUCGUCGCUGUCUGACGAGUUUGUCUGCAGCAUCAAGUCUGGGAUCCUGAGGAACGACAGCACCAUCCCCGACCGCUUUCAGUGCAAGCUCAUCGCCGUCGGCGUCUUCCAGCUGCUCAGCCUCAUCAACCUCGUGGUUUACGUGCUACUGGCCCCCGUGGUCAUCUACACGCUCUUCGUUCCAUUCCGGCAGAAGACAGAUGUUCUCAGGGUGUAUGAGAUUCUGCCCACCUUUGAUGUCCUGCAUUUCAAGUCGGAGGCGUACAACGACCUGAGUCUCUACAACCUCUUCUUGGAGGAGAACGUAAGCGAGCUCAAGUCCUACAGGUGUCUGAAGGUCCUGGAGAAUAUUAAAAGCAGUGGCCAGGGCAUCGACCCGAUGGUCCUCCUGACCAACCUUGGCAUGAUCAAGAUGGAUGUCAUGGAUGGCAAGAAACCGGAGCCCAUGGAGAUGACGACAGAGGAGCCGGGGGACCCGAUGACAGAGCUCAAAGAUUCGAGCACAACCAGUGAUAUUAAAGUAAAUAACGGAGAGACGAAUGCUCGGCAGAGACUUCUCGAUUCUUCUUGCUGAUUUUUUUUCCCCUUGACCUUGAGGUCCGUGGCCCUCUGCAACAUGGGAUUUGUAUCGGCUGUCAGGUUCCCUGCUGGUCCUUCUGAGUGUGCCUUACUGAGACCCUAAUGAAAAUGACGGCCCCCAGAACACUGUAGGAGCAUGGUUCAUGAACUUCCGAUGAGCAGCACCAUGGGGGUGAGCCAGCCCCAGCAAGUGUACGUGUGAGUCCAUCACCCGGAAGGUGGGAAGGCUCAUUCAGAGCAAGACUCAGAGUCCUGUUUGUGCCUCAAAGAAACCCCUUUCUGGAAAGAUGUGCAGUAAGACUCAGUACCAGCAAGGACUUUGGGAGGCUUUUUGGAUUUGCUACAUGAAAUAAUGAUAACACCUGUCAGGAUACAGCUUUACUGGGAACCUCCUCGGUGCCCCUAACGACUGCUGCACGAGAGGAAACACUCACCGGCCAGCCGCAGACUUGCUGUUGGCGGUGUCCUCCUCUGGGGACAGUGCUGGCAUGGGUUCCUGUCCCCCAGGGCUCUGUGCACACCACUGCUCGUCAGCCACGGCAAACCGAAAUCAUGGCACUCCACCCUGGAAACGUGGCCGAGACUUCCAGUGUAGACCUUCUGCAAACUUCCGGGAAGUGACAAACCCCGAAAGGCACAGACCCCCUCUUGUGAUGCGCACACAACACUAAAUGCACCUCCAGGGGCCGUCCUCGGGUGUGCACACGGCGAGGGGUUGGAGACCAGUCCGCCCGGCGCACAGCGGAGGCCCCUUUGGCCUCCCAGAGAGCUGCUUCCAGCAACGUCUGCUCUGUGUCCACCUAGCGAAAUCGUGUUUGCACACUUCUGAGUGGGCUGUACCCUCUGAGGAGUGGGUCUCGUUGUUCAGAAUCCGGGUGAAGAGCCAGUUAAGAGGGCGCGUGGAUGACAGUGGGGGACGGGGUGAGUGGGCCGCUGCCACUGACCCUGUUCUGCCUCUCCAGCAUGGAGAGCCAGUGAGCCUAACCCUCAAACAGUGCUUUGUCCUAUUUUGUGCUGUGAAAACGCUAGAAACUUCCAGCUGCCUGGGCUGUCCCACUGCAUGGUCGUGCUUCGUCUGUAGAAGCCGAGCCUGUGUCCUCUCCAAGAAUGAGCCAAGGUCGGGAAAUGGCCCGGCAGACGCUCCCACAGCCAGAGUGUUGCACACUUUUUUAAAAUGUGUUCAUAUUGGUUUAUUUUACUAUUGUCAGUCCCGGGUCAAUAGAAUAUCUACGAGGAUGGGCGUUGUUGAUCUUGUGAUGUGAGCUAAACCAGUGGCUGGCCUGUAAUAGGCAUUCUGUAAAUAUUUGCUGAACAAACACAGAGUUAUGAGAACUUGAGCUUGUUGGCAGCUGGGAUUUGAUUCGAAAAGGCACACAGUCCUCUACAGGAAAGGAGAGGGGAGACCCCCUCAGCCUCCUGUGAGAGGGGAAUGUUUGUGUAAAAUGACUACAGCCCCACAAAUAAGCAGUGACGGUUCUUAGCUGCUUCUUGUGGCCGCUCUCCCAAGUUCAGUCCAAGUGCAGCGCUGACCUGCCGUGAUUAGUGAAAUUGAAGUUUUGAUGCUCCCGAUCUCCGUCAUUUCCCAGAACAACCUCUUGAAAAGGAACGAUGAUUGAAUUGUGCAGUUAGCGUUGAUUGGGGUUUCAGAUGAGGGCGCGGAGAUGAAAUGGCCCUUCGGGGCAGUCGUUGGCCGGGGCCCUAUUUUUCACAAGUAAUGUGAAGCCCCGAAAAAGGACUGGCAAAGAGGAUAGUGUGUCCUUUGUGGAGCAUAAUAGAUGUUAAUUCACCCUUGGUUUGUUCGCCCUGCUUGAAAUGAAAUGUGUUGUGUUUGGGGGCUCUCUUCUUAGCUGCAAAAAACACUUCGUCACUUAAAGCAUGUGGUUUGAUCCGUGAUUGUUCAAGUUUUUGGAAGUUAAUAUAGUUUCUCAUGUCGUGAGUGCUUUCCCCUGCCCCUCCCCCGCCCCCCAGAGGAGGAAAAGCCUUGUAGAAUUCGACAGGGUCACAAGUGCUCCCUACAAAAGCUGAUGCCACCCUUUCCUCUUUAACAAGUUGGCUUUUUUAAAAGCACCACUGUUACAGGCUCAUGGAGUUCUGUGGAGAGGUACUCGAGGUGUACUUUAAAUUCUUUUGAAUGACUAAACAUCUUCACCAACUUUUAAAGAAAAAUACAUGGGUUCUUUUCUGCUGUGUCAUUCGGGAAGGAUGAUUGCUUGCUCUUCCACAAAGAUCAAAGGAUGACCGCGGAUCACUGUGUUAGAAAAUGACCCUUAAGAAAAGGACAAGAGUCUUGAAAACGCUGAGGUUCGGUGGUUCUCGCUAGGACGUUUUCGAUUUCCACAAGUCACCCGUCCAAGUUCUGCAUUCUGACUUCCCUUUAAGGAGGGAUCCAAGGCUGCCCCUGUCUGUAGAGAAUGUGGAAACAAUGUUUUCGUUCUGCACGGCUUGCAUCCACCCCAAUAAAACUUCUCUCACUAAU